rnacentral:pre_miRNA from 1 species
CUCUUUGGUGAUCUAAGCUGUAUGACCUUAUUUCAUCGGUAUAUCAUAAAGCUAGAUUACCGAAGUC